rnacentral:ncRNA from 1 species
CUAAACUGGCGCCGCCUCGGUGCUCGCGCGUGCAACGCGCGGUUAAACGGGAAGCAGGGCGCGGGCUCCGCCAGGACGCCGCCAACCUGCGCUGCCCCCGCAACGGUAAGCGGCCGCGUUGCAUGACGCAGGCCGGCUCGGGCGCGUUCCGCAUGCACGUUGCGCAUGCGGACGCGGGCCACUGCGCGUCUUCGCGCGGGAAGGCGAGCCGGAUCGCCGCCAGCCCGGAUACCGGCCGAGGCGGGGAGCCCGCAC